rnacentral:rRNA from 1 species
GUAGGGUGCAAGCGUUAAUCGGAAUUACUGGGCGUAAAGCGUGCGCAGGCGGUUUUGUAAGUCUGUCGUGAAAGCCCCGGGCUCAACCUGGGAAUUGCGAUGGAGACUGCAAGGCUUGAAUCUGGCAGAGGGGGGUAGAAUUCCACGUGUAGCAGUGAAAUGCGUAGAGAUGUGGAGGAACACCGAUGGCGAAGGCAGCCCCCUGGGUCAAGAUUGACGCUCAUGCACGAAAGCGUGGGGGGAGCAAACAGGAUUAGAUACCCUGGUAGUCCACGCCCUAAACCGAUGUCUACUAGUUGUCGGGUUUUAAUUAACCUUGGUAACGCAGCUAACGCGUGAAGUAGACCGCCUGGGGAGUACGGUCGCAAGAUUA